rnacentral:piRNA from 1 species
UGGGUUGGAAAAGGAGGUGGAUGAUGAC